rnacentral:rRNA from 1 species
AUCUCAAUCAGGUAGGACUACCCGCUGAACUUUAAGCAUAUCAUA